GCCUUCGUGGUGUAGUGGUCAGCACGCUCGACGCGUAUUCGAGAGGUCCGUGGUUCGAGUCCCGGCGAGGCCA
rnacentral:tRNA from 1 species